UGCAAGUUUCCUGAGACCUCCCCAGAAUGCAGAAUGGAUCAUAGGUGAAAGAGACUUGCCUUGUCUCAGAUGAGACUUUGGACUUGGACUUUUGAUGCUCAUUCCAGUUAAUGCUGGAAUGAGUUAAGACUUUCGGGGACUGUCAGGAAGGCACGAUUGGUUUUGAAAUGUGGAAAGCACAUGAAAUUUGGGAGGGGCCAGGUGCAGAAUCAUAUGGUUUGGCUCUGUGUCCUCACCCAUAUCUCAUCUUGAAUUGUAAUCCCUACCUGUCAAGGGAGGAACCUGGUGAGAGGUGAUUGGCUGAUGGGGGCAGUUUCCCCCAUGCCGUUCUCAUGAUAGUGAGGGAGUUCUCAUGAGAUAUGAUGCUUUAAAUGUGGCAGUUUCCCCUGUGCGCUCUUUCUUUCCUGCUGCCUUGUGAAGAAGGUACUUGCUUCUCCUUCGCCUUCUGCCAUGAUUGUAAGUUUCCUGAGGCCUCCCCAGCCACGCGAACUGUUCACUCCCAGCCCAGCAAAAAUGAAGAAAAGUACGGGGGUAAGGUAUGGAAAAACAGCAAGCAAAGCCAGAAGCUUAUUACCAUACAAGUCAAUGAUUUACAACGAGCCACAAGGAGACACAGCCAGAACCAUUCCUUAAGCAGUCUACCAGGAGGAGUAACAGGAAAUUUACCUACGUGGAUCUCAUUCAUUCUGCCCCUGCCCCUCCACCCUUUUUAAAAGUUUGUCCCACAAACUUUGAAAACUGCUCUGCAUUUUAGAGUUGCCUCGUCCAUUGUAGCACUUCACUAGAGUCCAGAAGUGGCAGAAAAAGGGACCAGGGACUUUGGAAAGUGACUGACUGAGCUCAAAACAUUCAUGUAGUUGAUUGGCUGUGGCUGCAGUGGAGUCAGAGCAUGUAGUUGAAGAUUUGAGGAGUUGAGACUGAGAAAACUUGUGGAGUAGGACAAGUGGUCUGACACGUGAUGUGUCUAAGAAAAUUAAACAGAUCUGGGCAUGGUGGCUCACGCCUGUAAUCCCAGCAUUUUGGGAGGCCAAGGCGGAUGGAUCACCUGAGGUCACGAGUUCGAGACCAACCUAACGAAUAUGGUGAAACCCUGUCUCUACUAAAAAUACAAAAAUUAGAAAAUUAGCCAGGCGUAGUGCUGCACGCCUGUAAUCCCAGCUACUCGGGAGGCUGAGACAGAAGAACUGCUUGAACCCGGGAGAUGGAGGUUGCAGUGAGCUGAGAUUGCACCCCUGCACUCCUGCCUGCGCAACAGAGCAAGACGGUGUCUCAAAAAAAAAAGGAGAGAAAAGAAGAUGGAGAGAGUAAGAAGGGAGAAAUUAAGAGUUUUUUUCUUGGAGUCUUCCAGGUUUUCAGGAUUAUGCCUAUAGAAAGAUGGAAACUGAGAAGGCUAAAAGACAGGUAGAGAGCAGAGCAAACAACUCUUUGUAUUCUUCUGGCUCCUACUUACAAACGUGAUACCCUAAGCUCUGCAAUACUAAUCGGCAUUUAUGGUUCAAGCAUCUCUGUUGACAGAAAGAAAUGGCAAAAAUGCUAUUACACACUGUUUGCUUUUGAUGUUGUAUUGGUUUCAGGAAGUCUCUUAUUUCUACAGGUUCCUGACUAGAUAAUUGCCACAGGAGAUACAAAAGAAUAGAGGUCAGACUUUAAGACAUUUUAUUAGCAUUAUUUCUCUCUAAAACAAAAUUAAAUUGCUUUGAGUGAGUUAGUAACCUAUGCUUGCAUGCUAGCAAAUGCCAGAAGGGUCAAGAAUAAAAUAACAGGUAGCUUAUAAGUAAACAGAAAUACAUUUCCUAGAGCAAUUUCCAGGACUGAAAACCAAAUGAAUUCCACCACUCCGAUAGUACUAUUACCCUCUAAGGAAUUUAUGUCCUGUGGUUUACAUUACUCUUUUAAGAAAUAAAUAUAAUGUAAAAAUAAGAAUUUCUUCCAGAUACCAACUAUCAUGAAGUAUUUCAAAUAAAAUCUGUACAAAAUCAAACAUAUUUUUUACAUACCUAUUUCUUCUCCAGGAAUCCUCACAUGCUAUGGAUUGAAUAUUUGUGUUCCUCCCAAAAAUUUGUAUGUUGAAAUCCUAACCACUAAGGUAAUGUGAUUAGGAAGUGGGAUCUUUGAGAGAUGGUUAGGUCAUGAGAGUGGGGCCCUAAAGAAUGGGAUUAGUGUCCUUGUAAACGCAACCUAACUUCCUUGUCCACAUUAUGCCCUAGAAGAUUGCCAUCAAUAAGGAAGCUAGCUCUAAUCAGACACCAAACCACCUGGCAUCAUGAUGUUGAUCUUUCCAGCCUUCAGAACUGUGAAAGACAAAUUUCUUUUGUUUAUGAGUCACUCAGUCUAUGGUAUUUUGUUAUAGCAGCCCUAACAGCCUAAGACAUUAUCUCGCCUAAUGACCUUGUCAUAAAAUCACUUUCAAGUCAAAACCUCAAAUUAGAUGCAUUUUUUAAUCAUCCUGUAGAUCUAAUUGUUCACCAAAUCUGGCUGAUUUCCUUUGUAAACCUUGCUUAAAUUUACAUGCUAUCCUCUACCUGCAGAAACAGCAAUUGAGAUCGGGAAUAUAGCAAACCUCACCUGGACUAGUCUCUGAGUGAGAUUCAAAUAGUCGUCCUCAAUAUCAUUUUUUUUUCUUUCUCCCCCAGCAACAGAAACUGCAUUUUAGCUGGGUAUGUAGCUAUACAAAAUAAAAUGUUCAUUUUCUAGCUUCGCUGACAGCUAGAUGAAGCCAAAUUCUUGAAGCCAAAUUCUUGACAAAAAAAGAUAUAAUUAGAAAUGGUGUAAGCAAAUUUUGGGACAUGUCCUUAAAGGGGAGGUGACAUACUUUUCUCAUUCUUUCUUUCUACUGGCUAGAAUACACAUAUGAUGGAUGGAAAUGGAACAACAAUCUUGGAUCAUAACAUAAAUGACAAGUGUCGAGGAUGAUAAUCUAAUGAUACAGAAAAAGUCUAAGUCUUUGUUGGUUGAGGAACCACUUUGAUAACCCUAGACUAAAAAUGUUUAAACUUCUUUUUGUUUAAAUUACUGUUUAUAUUUAAUCUUUUUCAUUGGUAGCUAAACAAAGUUGUAAAAAUCAGAGCCCCUUGACAGUUUUCUCUGCUUCACUCUUAUUUCUCUCCUGGAGAGAGAAAUGCUGCCCUAGCCUGUGAUUUCUGAAAUAUAAAUGUGAUCAUGCUACUCUUAGGUUUAACAUGUAUCACCUGCAAAAAAGUCCACAAUUAUUAUCAAAGAGAUAAAGGUCCACUGUAACAUAGUUCCUAUCUCUUUUGCCAAUCUCACUCCCACUACAGCACACUCAUACCCUUCCCUUGGCCACUCUUUGUUUUCUAAACAUACUAUGCUCUUUCUUUAUUCCCACCUUUUCUUAACCCUGCAGCAAGAUAAUCCUGUUGAAACUUAACUUAGAUUCUGUCACUCUUGACUUCAAAAUGUCCAGUGUCCUCCCUUCUCACUUAGAGUAAAAGUAAAAGUACUUGCAAAGGCCCUCACCUUAAGCCUUCUCUAAUUUAGGACUCCAUUAUAUCUUCUUCAGCUUGUUUGCCUACUCUCUUCUAGGUGCACUUUGCCAUCUUUCUGUUCUUUGAACAUGCAAGAUACUCUCCAACUCCAGGGUCUUUGUACUGCUAGUUCUUUCAUCUAGAAUGCUCUUUCUUAGAUAUGUUUCCUGUCAUAUCACCUGUUAAGCAAGGUUUUCCCUGGCUACCUUAUCUGAAAUUAUGAUCUCCCUUCCCUUAACCAACUCAAGUACUCCUUAUCUCACUUCAUUAUUUCCAGCACAUAUCACUUUAUCAUCCGAUGUAAUUUACAUUGUUCAUGAUCUUAACUCUUUCAACCCUUCCGAAUAUAAGCCUCAUUAUAAAAACAGAUUUUGCCUCUUUUGUUCUGUGCUGCUUCUUCUAGAAAAAUGUCUGCCACAUAGUAAGUGCUCAAUAAAUAUUCAUUACUAUUGACUAACUUUCCCAUAUUUAUGAUGAAUUCUUGCCUCGAAUAUUGAAUAACUCUAUGAAGACUACUCAUAACUAUGUCCCACUUCAACAAAAAUUCAUAAACACAGUGCUUCCAUAACACUUGGUAGGUAUUCAAUAUAUAUUUUAGCAAAAACAGAUUAUCAGAUAAGUGAAAUUUAAAAUCAUAUACAAUUUCUAACAAAAUACUUAUUAUUUUUCUCAACAGAGAUCUGUGAGAAUUAAUACAUCUUUCUAUGUAAUAAUCUCCUACGCAGAUGCUGAGUACCCUCAUGUUCAUUGAGGGUAAUGUUUUUGUAUUCAUUGCCACUUCUGCUUCUGAAAGCCAUUGAAUGUGCAUUUCAUGUCUGAUACUGGGCAAGCUAUGGUCUGAAAUUCUUCUGAAUAGUGGCUUCUUUCAUGUUCUGCCUGCAGUAGGAAGAAUGUGAUAGUAUAAGCUCCUCGAGAGCAGAAAUUUUGUUUUUUCUGAAUAUCUGCAAUACACAGCAAAAAUCAUGUGCAUUUAGGAUCCGUUUAACUACAAAUGGCAGAAAACAUAGCUACAAAUUGGCUUAACUAAUAAAAGCCAGUGGUGUGGAUGACCCAAGAGCAGCCAGGAUGGGAGACAGCUAGACAGAGCCUGCAAGCCCUUCUGGAAUACUUUCACUAUCAGAACACAAUGAAUGACAAACCUUUAAAAACUCCUGUGAGUUACAGAGAAAGCUUCCAGUGAAGAUGGUGGUAUUGGCUGAGUCUAGGAAAUGGAAGAAAGGAAAAACAGAAUAGCAGGAGCAAAAAAAUAAAGGCAAUAUUCUAGCAUGUU